rnacentral:rRNA from 1 species
AGUUUGAUCCUGGCUCAGAACGAACGCUGGCGGCGUGGUUAAAGCAUGCAAGUCGAACGGAACUCNUUUGGGGGUAACUCUGGGUGAGUUUAGUGGCGAACGGGUGAGGAAUACAUGGGUAACGUACCCCGGACUCAGGAAUANCGGCGGGAGCUUGCUCCCUUUGCGAAAGUGCCGGUAAUAUCUGAUGAACCAGUANCAUCGCAUGGUGCAUCUGGCAAAGGUCCGCAGGUCUGGGAGCGGCCCAUGUCCUAUCAGCUUGUUGGUGAGGUAAUGGCUCACCAAGGCAACGACGGGUAGCGGGCGUGANAGCGUGGCCCGCCNCAUCGGGACUGAGACACUGCCCGGACACCUACGGGUGGCUGCANCAACGAAUAUUCCGCAAUGAGCGAAAGCCUGACGGAGCGACGCCGCGUGAAGGAUGAAGUCUUUCGGGAUGUAAACUUCUGUCAGGGAUUAGGAACACAAUGACCAAUCCCAAAGGAAGCACCGGCUAAUUCCGUGCCAGCAGCCGCGGUAACACGGAAGGUGCAAGCGUUGUUCGGAAUUACUGGGCUUAAAGAGCGUGUANGCGGAAUGGUAGGUGCUUUGUGAAAUCCCUCGGCUCANCCGAGGAACUGCGAGGCAAACCCCCAUUCUUGAGACAGGUAGAGGCGACUGGAACGUUCGGUGGAGCGGUG